AUAACAGGUCUAGCCUGCCCAGUGACUAUAAGUUCAACGGCCGCGGUAUUUUAACCGUGCCAAGGUAGCGCAAUCACUUGUCUCUUAAAUAGGGACCUGUAUGAAUGGACGAACGAGGGCUUAACUGUCUCCUUUCUCAGGUCAAUGAAAUUGAUCUCCCCGUGCAGAAGCGGGGAUGCCACCAUAAGACGAGAAGACCCUAUGGAGCUUUCAGACACCAAAGCAUAUUAUGUCAAGGCCCCUGAACAAAGGACUGAACUUAAGUAAAUUAUGCUCCUAUGUCUUAGGUUGGGGCGACCCCGAGGAAACAAAUAACCCCCCUUGUGUGGAAUGGGAGCACUCCUUUUUUCCUAAAACCGAGAGCUGCAGCUCUAAGUAACAGAUAUUUCUGACCAGACCGAUCCGGCAAAGCCGAUCAACGGACCAAGUUACCCUAGGGAUAACAGCGCAAUCCCCUUUUAGAGCCCAUAUCGACAAGGGGGUUUACGACCUCGAUGUUGGAUCAGGACAACCUGGUGGCGCAACCGCUAUUGAAGGUUCGUUUGUUCAACGAUUAAAGUCC
rnacentral:rRNA from 1 species